CACUCAAUUUGAGUAGGAAAAACUUCAGUCUGUGAUACUGUGGUAGCAAUCGGUACAGUAGUCUUGCAACCCAAUGUCACGGACUGAAGUUGAAAACUCGAAUAGG
rnacentral:miRNA from 1 species